GUGCUUGCUUCAGCAGAACAUAUACUAAAAUUGGAACAAAACAGAGAAGAUUAGCAU
rnacentral:snRNA from 1 species